CCCUUAGAUGUUCUGGGCCGCACACGCGCUACACUGAAGGAGGCAGCGUGUACUCCUGGAUCGAAAGAUUUGGGUAACCCGCGAAUCUCCUUCGUGCUAGGGAUUGAGGUUUGCAAUUAUCCUUCAUGAACGAGGAAUUCCCAGUAAGUGCAAGUCAUAAGCUUGCGCUGACUACGUCUCUGCCCUUUGUACACACCGCCCGUCGCUACUACCGAUUGAAUGAUUUAGUGAGGACUUCGGACUGGGACCGAUGCGGCUUUCGGGCUGCGUCGGUAUUCUGGAAAGAUGUCCAAACUGUAUCAUUUAGAGGAAGUAAAAGUCGUAACA
rnacentral:rRNA from 1 species